UUACGCAUGCAAGUCGAGGGGUAACAGGAGUGCUUGCACUCGCUGACGACCGGCGCACGGGUGCGUAACGCGUAUAGAACUUACCUUUUACAGAGGGAUAGCCUUUAGAAAUGAAGAUUAAUACCUCAUAGUAUUGAGACUCGGCAUCGAGACUCACUUAAAGAUUUAUCGGUAAAAGAUGGCUAUGCGUCCUAUUAGUUAGUUGGUAAGGUAACGGCUUACCAAGGCAGCGAUAGGUAGGGGUCCUGAGAGGGAGAUCCCCCACACUGGUACUGAGACACGGACCAGACUCCUACGGGAGGCAGCAGUGAGGAAUAUUGGGCAAUGGAGGCAACUCUGACCCAGCCAUGCCGCGUGCAGGAAGACUGCCCUAUGGGUUGUAAACUGCUUUUAUACAGGAAGAAACACUGCUACGUGUAGCAGCUUGACGGUACUGUAAGAAUAAGGACCGGCUAACUCCGUGCCAGCAGCCGCGGUAAUACGGAGGGUCCGAGCGUUAUCCGGAAUCAUUGGGUUUAAAGGGUCCGCAGGCGGUCAAUUAAGUCAGAGGUGAAAUCCCAUAGCUUAACUAUGGAACUGCCUUUGAUACUGGUUGACUUGAGUCAUAUGGAAGUAGAUAGAAUGUGUAGUGUAGCGGUGAAAUGCAUAGAUAUUACACAGAAUACCGAUUGCGAAGGCAGUCUACUACGUAUGUACUGACGCUGAGGGACGAAAGCGUGGGGAGCGAACAGGAUUAGAUACCCUGGUAGUCCACGCCGUAAACGAUGGAUACUAGUUGUUGGGCAUUAGCUCAGUGACUAAGCGAAAGUGAUAAGUAUCCCACCUGGGGAGUACGGUCGCAAGACUGAAACUCAAGGAAUUGACGGGGCCCGCACAAGC
rnacentral:rRNA from 1 species